GACGUAGGGCGCAAGCGUUGUCCGGAUUUAUUGGGCGUAAAGAGCUCGUAGGCGGCCUGUCGCGUCGACCGUGAAAACCCGCAGCUCAACUGCGGGCUUGCGGUCGAUACGGGCAGGCUGGAGUCCGGUAGGGGAGCGUGGAAUUCCUGGUGUAGCGGUGAAAUGCGCAGAUAUCAGGAGGAACACCAGCGGCGAAGGCGGCGCUCUGGGCCGGAACUGACGCUGAGGAGCGAAAGCGUGGGUAGCAAACAGG
rnacentral:rRNA from 1 species